rfam:Myotis brandtii contig158643, whole genome shotgun sequence.
GGCGGUUCUCGGGUGAUGCCCCCCAAAAUUGGCCUCCCUCCUCUCGGGUUCUGGGUGAGUCACCGAGAACCGCU